GAUGAACGCUAGCGGCAGGCUUAAUACAUGCAAGUCGUGGGGCAGCAGGAUUCUAGCAAUACAGUUUCUGGCGACCGGCAAACGGGUGCGAAACACGUACCCUGCCUUCCCUUAACUGGGGGCUACCCCGGACUAACCCUGAUUCCUACUCCGUACUCCUGCUGCGUGGCAUCGCUUUAUUAUUAUCGCUCCGUCGGUUUGGGCUCGCCGUGCUGCUGAUUGGGUGUUUGGUUGAGGUAACGGCUGACCAUGCCUACGAUCAGUACCUGGUGUGAGAGCACGACCAGUCAGAGGGGGACUGGGAAACGGGCCCGACACAUACGGGAGGCAGCAGUAAGGAAUAUUGGGGAAUGGAGGAAACUCUGACCCAGCCAUGCCGGGUGGAGGAUGAAGGCCCUCUGGGUUGUAAACUUCUUUUAUAGGGGACGAAACCUGUGUAUUCUUACGCAGUUGACGGUACCCGAGGAAUAAGCACCGGCUAACUCCGUG
rnacentral:rRNA from 1 species